AGGACAAACGCUGGCGGCGUGCAUAAAACAUGCAAGUCGGACGAGCCAAUCCCCGCAAGGGGAAAGGCUAGUGGCGAACGGCUGAGUAACACGUAGGUGAUCUGCCCUGAAGUGGGGGAUAACGACUCGAAAGAGUCGCUAAUACCGCAUGUGACCAUCGAUUCGUUUUCGAUGCUCAAAGUCGUAAGACGCUUUAGGAGGAGCCUGCGGCGGAUUAGCUAGUUGGUGAGGUAAUGGCCACCAAGGCUUCGAUCCGUAGC
rnacentral:rRNA from 1 species